CCAGCGCUGGUGGUUGAGUGAUGUAAUCACGUGGGGUCUGAAGUCUUCGUGGGUGUAUCCUGUGUUUUCCAGUUGAAAGCUUGUGAAAAUUCGCUUUAUCCUUGAAGUUCAGAAUUUUCACCAGGAUGUAUGAAGGUCCUGUCCUCGAUGGAUCAGCUGGCACCACCCAGAUGGAUAAACUGGCUCAUCUGAUCUUGUGGCCCCCAUCCAGGAAGUGACUCAGUGUAAGAAGACAGCUUCAACUCCCUAUGAUUUCAUCUCUGACCAAUCAGCACUCUCGGCUCACUGGCUUCCUCCAACCCACCAAUUUGUUCUUUUUUUUUUUGAGACCAAGUCUCACCUGUCGCCCAGGCUGGAGUGCAGUGGCGUGAUCUCUGCUCACAGCAACCUCCGCCUCCUAGGUUCAAGCAAUUCUCCUGCCCCAGCCUCCCGAGUAGCUGGGAUUACAG
rnacentral:lncRNA from 10 species